GUCCAUUUCUCCAACCACAUUGUCCCACUGCCUGCCAGUGGCAUUUCUAUGGAGGAAUCAGAGGGAAGAAGUCCAGCGUGAUACCAGCUAUGCUUCUGAAGAUCAUAUUGAAUAUGCCUCCGUGAAUUUGCAGAGAAGUGCAAACCAUCCACGGCCCCAGACAGAAGAGACGACAUACGCAGCCAUCACUGCGAAGCAGAACAGGCGUCAUUAAUGGUCCACGAGCUGAAACGCAGGGCUCGUGUGUGCAGCCACAUCACAGAACCUCCCCAAAUCAGAAGCAACUACAGAAGUUGAGCAGCUAGGAAGUGGAAGACCUUCUUUGGAGCCACAGCUAGGCAAUGCUCAGUGACCCGAAGAGCUGACACUGGAGUAUUCUCAGGGCGGAUGUGACUU